GAUGAACGCUGGCGGCGUGCCUAAUACAUGCAAGUCGAGCGAACGGACGAGAAGCUUGCUUCUCUGAUGUUAGCGGCGGACGGGUGAGUAACACGUGGAUAACCUACCUAUAAGACUGGGAUAACUUCGGGAAACCGGAGCUAAUACCGGAUAAUAUUUUGAACCGCAUGGUUCAAAAGUGAAAGACGGUCUUACUGUCACUUAUAGAUGGAUCCGCGCUGCAUUAGCUAGUUGGUAAGGUAACGGCUUACCAAGGCAAUGAUGCAUAGCCGACCUGAGAGGGUGAUCGGCCACACUGGAACUGAGACACGGUCCAGACUCCUACGGGAGGCAGCAGUAGGGAAUCUUCCGCAAUGGGCGAAAGCCUGACGGAGCAACGCCGCGUGAGUGAUGAAGGUCUUCGGAUCGUAAAACUCUGUUAUUAGGGAAGAACAUAUGUGUAAGUAACUGUGCACAUCUUGACGGUACCUAAUCAGAAAGCCACGGCUAACUACGUG
rnacentral:rRNA from 1 species